UGGACAACAGGGAGUACAGUGACCAAGAGCUACAUCGUGUCAUGAAGAACUUUUAACAAGCGGCUGCUGACUUCUAAGGGCACACUCAAAAUCCAGACGGCCCUGGGACCUUUGUUGCAAGCCACCACAGUUACUACUGGGGAGAAAAGACUACCAGAUUGAGAUUUUAAAGGGCAGGUAUCGGACCCAAUGACAAAAGCAAGCUGUGUUUGCCACAGCCAAUACUGGAGGCUGAAGGAAGUGACAGUACCGGAAGUACAAGGGACGGCCGGGGAAGUUCGGUAAAUAUCGACCCUAAUCCGUUUUCUCCUAUUUCUGAGAAAAAUAGACGGCAAAGACGUCGGAGUGGAAAGUUUUGAACGCUCCUGUGCAGAAACCUUUCUAAGCACGGCAGCAGGUCUAAGGCUGCCGCCCUUAGAAAGUCCGGCUUACCAAGUUGGACCUUGGCUGGCAUCUGGGGACUUGAAUUUCAGGAUGCCCCACCCCGAGCUUAAACUGUUUGUACAAACAAUGCAGUUCAUGCUGAGCACCUGCUCUCCUCCUGGAGUCUGGAAUCUGGGUCUGUGCUGGGUGGAGGUGCCUGCAUGACCAGCCCCCAGUGAGACCUCUGGGCACUAGGUCUCCAUGAACUUCUCUAGGAGACAUUUCACACCUGUAACAACUUAUUGCUGGGGGAUUGAGCGUGUCCUGUGUGUCUCUAUUGGGAGAAGACUCUGGAAGCUUGUACCUGGUUUUCCUGGACCUGCCCCAGGGGCCUUUUCCCUUUUCUGAUUUUCUCUGUAGCUUAUUGCUGUAACAGAUAGUAGUCCUGAGUAUGACUAUAUACUGAGCCCCAGAAGUCCUCCUACCAAAUCACUGAACCCAUGGGUAGGCUUGGGGACCCCAACACAGCUCCCAAAGGCCCUUCCCUCUACCCCUGGCUGACCCUUGUGUCUAAAAGCAGCUCACUGACACUUUGUUCCUCCCCACAGAAAUGCUGCCUGCCCCACUGUGACCCAUCGAGGAUCCCGAGUUCAGGCUCCCCAAAGACCAGCAGGCAGUACAUGGUGCCAUUGGUGGUCCCUUUCAACAUGAGGUGAGUGUCCCCACAUAGCUUCCCACACCAGUUGUGACAGACAGACCCAACACCCGGAGUCCACAGAGAGUGGUUUAUCGCCGGCAUUGGUUCAGACAUGGACCCAGUGAGCAAGUGACUGCUCCAGGCCUCGCUUUCUCACCAUUCAGUACUAAUCUCCCUGCCCUCUCAGAGCGCUCAGUCAGCAUCUGCCUCGAGAUCUUGGUCAUUGGUAGUAGCAGAGUGAGCUCGGAGAGGGGCCCUGUAUAUCCUUUCACCCUUUCCAGCAGCCAUGGUCGUUCCUGCCUCAGGGCCUUUGCAUAAGCUGUUCCCUCUGCCCAGAACACUCUUCUUCUGCUCUCACAUGGCUGGCUCUUCUUCACCUUUGGGGUCUUGGAUUAAAUCUCAGCCCCUCAGAGAGCUCCUCCUGGCCCCCUAUCUAGCCCAUGCAUCAUUCCCCUUCACCGUGCUCUUACCUUGUCCUUCACCCCACUUUUGAAUUACCCGAUCUUACCAGUUCUAAGCCUCAUAGUUUUUCACGCUUCAGCAUAAUUUGAAAUCAGAAAUACCUGACAAUAAAAGACACCUUUGUUCAGUGAAA